rnacentral:rRNA from 1 species
CAGCAGCCACGGGAAUACGAAGGGGGCUAGCGUUGUUCGGAAUUACUGGGCGUAAAGGGCGCGUAGGCGGCCAUUCAAGUUAGAUGUGAAAGCCCUGGGCUCAACCUAGGAAUUGCAUUUGAUACUGUUUGGCUUGAGUUCGGGAGAGGUGAGUGGAAUUCCCAGUGUAGAGGUGAAAUUCGUAGAUAUUGGGAAGAACACCAGUGGCGAAGGCGGCUCACUGGACGCGUAUUGACGCUGAGGUGCGAAAGCGUGGGGAGCAAACAGGAUUAGAUACCCCGGUAGUCCCUGUCUCUUAUAC